rnacentral:rRNA from 1 species
UACGAAGGGGGCUAGCGUUGCUCGGAAUUACUGGGCGUAAAGCGCACGUAGGCGGAUUGUUAAGUCGGGGGUGAAAUCCUAGAGCUCAACUCCAGAACUGCCUUCGAUACUGGCGAUCUCGAGUUCGGGAGAGGUGAGUGGAACUGCGAGUGUAGAGGUGAAAUUCGUAGAUAUUCGCAAGAACACCAGUGGCGAAGGCGGCUCACUGGCCCGAUACUGACGCUGAGGUGCGAAAGCGUGGGGAGCGAACAGG